rnacentral:rRNA from 1 species
UACGUAGGGGGCAAGCGUUGUCCGGAAUUAUUGGGCGUAAAGCGCGCGCAGGCGGCUUCUUAAGUCAGGUGUGAAAGCCCACGGCUCAACCGUGGAGGGCCAUCUGAAACUGGGGAGCUUGAGUGCAGGAGAGGAGAGCGGAAUUCCACGUGUAGCGGUGAAAUGCGUAGAGAUGUGGAGGAACACCCGUGGCGAAGGCGGCUCUCUGGCCUGUAACUGACGCUGAGGCGCGAAAGCGUGGGGAGCAAACAGG